GAUGAACGCUGGCGGCGUGCCUAAUACAUGCAAGUCGAGCGAACAGACGAGGAGCUUGCUCCUCUGACGUUAGCGGCGGCCGGGGGAGUAACACGUGGAUAACCUACCUAUAAUACUGGGAUCACUUCGGGAAACCGGAUCUAAUACCGUAUAAUAUAUUGCACCUCAUGGUUCAAUAGUGAAAGACGGUUUUGCUGCCAGUGAUAGAUGGAUCCGCGCCGCCGGAGCUAGUUGGUAAGGUAACGGCUUACCAAGGCGGCGAUGCGUAGCCGACCUGAGAGGGUGGUCGGCUAGACUGGAUGUGAGACACGUCCCAGACUCCUACGGGAGGCAGCAGUCGGGAAUCUUCCGCAAUGGGCGAGAGCCUGAUGGAGCAACGCCGCGUGAGUGAUGAAGGUCUUCUGAUCGUAAAACUAUGUUAUCAGGGAAGAACAAAUGUGUAAGUAACUAUGCACGUCUUGACGGUACCUGAUCAGAAAGCCACGGCUAACUACGUG
rnacentral:rRNA from 1 species